GUUUUUUUAUACCACAAAAUAGAAUAUUCUGUAUCUUUCAGGCAGAAACGAUUAAUAGUGAACCUUCCGAAAGACUGUGGCUAAUUUGACUUGCAUGUUGAGCGGCUUCCUGGACAUUUUCCACAGGAGAGUUGGGAUUGAUGAGCUGUCACUGUUAUUCCUGGAGCGGGGCACUGAGGUGCUCUAGCCAGCCACCCCACAAGAUCAUGUACACAUGUCAUAAGAGGUUUCUGACAGGGGGCAGCAGAGACCAUGAAAACAAAGGCUGGCCCUUCAACUGGUAGCUUACAAAAUUUUGGAGCCAGACGUUUUAACAACUUUCAGCAGGAACUAGCCCAUGAUAGUGGACAAACCUCACUGUGGAAUAAAGACUUCAAGAGUGGAGGUGGAAAGAGGGGCUCAAAGUUGAAGGCAGUAAUAUGAGCCAUGAAAGCACUGUGUGAGACACAGUUAGAAAGUGAAAUGCUUUACAGAUGCCACCAAAAAAAAAAAAAAAAAAGAAAAGAAAAAAAGAGGAAAAGGCAGUCUUGAACCAGGGCACACCUCUUCACUUUCCACAUCAACCAGGUAAAAGGAAUCAAAUGCUAAUAAACCACAUGUCCACUAGAAUCCUUCUUGAGUAUUUAUUCACUUGGCACAAGUGACAGUAGUAGACUAUAUGUAACAUAUGUUUUUUAUUCAGAAGAUUUCUGUGCUUCUUCAUCCUAGUUCCGAGCUAAUCAAAGUGGACAUCUGUGUCCUGGAGGUUCUUUCUUCACAAAUCUAGAAUCAGACUCGGAAUUCCAAGCAUCUAGAGGGGCUGGUAUGUGACUAGUUGCUGUCAAAGUCCUGGGACUUGAACUUGGCGACCUAGUCAAAGCAGAUGAAAGUUCAUUUCUGAGUUUGUCCAUCCCUUUACACCAGGUACUCACCCCCUCCCUAUUCAAAUUCUCCCUAUAGUUAGCUAUCUUUCUCAAAAGACACUUAAAAAAAUUAAACCAAAACAAAUCUAAGAGAAACCUGAAAGAUCAGGAUAGAUGCUCCUUGAUGAUAUCCUGAAGGGAUUUAUAGUAUCAUCGAUAUUUCCCAAUUAUUACUGAACUUGGACUGGUAUACUUUGUUCAUUUUAGAUUACAUCAUAAUAAUGGGCAUUUUAUUUCCCUAGAAUAUUGGUGACUUAAAGUGUCUCAGUUAAAAAUUCAUUUGCCCACAAGUAACAGAAAACCCAGUUUACAGAGACUUAAACACAUGAGUUUCAAUUUCUUUUCUUUUUUUUUUUUUUUUGGCUGUGUGGUUUGCAGGAUGUUCUCCAUGACCAGAGAUUGAACCUGGACCACAGCAGUGAAAGCCCGGAAUCCUAACCACUAGGCCACCAGGGAACUCCGAGUUUCAAUUUCUUACUCAACAGGAAGUCUGGAAGGUAAAUCAAGCCAUAGGAGUGAAUGAGACUGUGGAAUGACUGAGAAGUGAGAAGGCCAAAAAGGGGAGCCUGGGGAGCCCCCUGGUUUCCUUUUAUAUACAGAUAAUCAUCUCCUGCAUACUGACCAUCUGCUGUCAAAGCAAAAUUCCAGUGGACCUAGCUUUAAAUCUUCCUACCAAGGGAUGCACCUCUGUUGUUGUAGCAGACAGGAUCUAGUCGGGAAAACAAACCACAGAAAUAAUUUAAUAUGGAGCAUUGCUGAAACAGGUGUUGGAGGACUGAAAAAGCAAAGAGGGAAGCAGCGGCGUCAGUUGGGCUGGGGAACAAAGGGAAAAGUUUAGUUACCAGAACUAAAAGUGUGCAAGACUCACACCUUCAUUCCUGAAGGGUGUGAAUCUACUUUUAAACUCUUUUAAAAAAAAUUAUAGUAGCUUUCCAUUAACUUUUACCAUAGGACACGGAAGUGCUAAGAGGUAUCACAGAAAAUCAAGAAUGCACCCUUUUUUUUUUUUGCGGUAUGCCGGCCUCUCACU